AUCGUUCCUCCCCAAUCACAUUUUUCAUUCUCACAGAACAUCCUCUCAUUCAUAUUUUAAAGACCUGAGUGAUUCACGUCCAACAUCAGAGAGAAGUGGAAUCCUCAUCUCUAGUCAGGCCUUGGCCAUGCAGUGUCCAGUAUUUCCCUGAGGACCCCUGAUUUCCUGGGCCAUGGACAUCUCUCCAUUGGAGACUUGGCUGAGACCACUGAAUUCAUAUCACAGUGAACCAUUUUAAGAUAUUUCUCUCCACUCCAACGAAACAUCUGAGUGCUCCAACCUGGAAAGACCUUAUAAGAAAACAUUUUCAUAUAGAAAGCAUCUUGGUGACAAGUAUUUUGUGGAGUCGAAUCAAUUAAUAAAGAUUAACCACUCCAUCAAGAGGGAUGCCAUCUUGAAAAGAGGAUGAUCCAUCACAGAAACAUGUGUCAGUCCUCAUGCUCUAUGAUGAGGAUCCAAUUACAACUUUCUGUGUAUACCAACUGCUUUUACCCUUUGGCAAGUUUGGCAGUUUCCCUUGGAGAAGUGGUAACCAGUAGUAUACAGUGGUCAGCCAAAACUGUUGAAACAAUAGUAUUGAUUAUUCAUACAGCAGCAGGAAAAAAAUCACUAAAGAAAAAUGCAGUUCAAAACAGCAGCAGUUUACACGCAAGUCUCACUCAACUAAAGCCCAGGCAUCUAGUGAUGGCAACUGUCUUAACCAGCUACCUGCAGGUAGUUCCUUCUCCAGAGUUCAGUGAAAAUCAAAUGCUCAAGUACCCAAGUAACUCUUGAAAAUGAAUCACUAUGAAAUAUUCUACCCAAAACUGCUUUACUUUCCAUGCACUCACCCUCAGAAGAAGGUGUAGAAGCACCCGUCAGCUCUUGGACCACAUGUAGGAUGGGUGGAGCUCCAGAUGGAGGAAGCUCUGUUGCUGUUGGAAAAGAAAGUUUAAAACUGCAGGUAUUGAGGCUCAGAAACUCCAAGCAGAAGAACUCUUAAUUCCCAUAGAUCUGGAUGUCUGAAAUUUCUGUUCAUUCUUAAUGAAGUAGCUCUCCUGAAGCACAGUCCAAACUACAGGUGCAGAAACCUUGAUCUGAUAUUUGACCUGUCAGCACUGAACAAGAAUGAGAAUGUUCAUCAUGUUUCAAGAAUGUUCAUCUUUGAGAUGAAAGUAAAGUACCUCAGCUAGCUGGCCAACACUGAGUAGAGCAAAAGCUUAAUCUAGACAUCCUACCCUGCCAGAAGCUAGCCUAAUACCUUGAAAUACAAGAUUUACUUUAUUACCUUGCAUACUAGAUCCACACUGUAUAAUAAAUGAUCUUUUGAAGUCUUUCA
rnacentral:lncRNA from 1 species